AUGAACGCUGGCGGCGUGCCUAAUACAUGCAAGUCGAGCGAACAGACGAGGAGCUUGCUCCUCUGACGUUAGCGGCGGACGGGUGAGUAACACGUGGAUAACCUACCUAUAAGUCUGGGAUAACUUCGGGAAACCGGAGCUAAUACCGGAUAAUAUAUUGAACCGCCUGGUUCAAUAGUGAAAGACGGAUUUGCUGUCACUUAUAUAUGGAUCCGCGCCGCAUUAGCUAGUUGGUAAGGUAACGGCUUACCAAGGCAACGAUGCGUAGCCGACCGGAGAGGUUGAUCGGCCACACUGGAACUGAGACACGGUCCAGACUCUUACGCAAGGCACCAGAAGGGAAUCUUCCGCAAUAGGCGAAAGCCUGACGGAGCACCGCAGCAUGAAUGAUCAACGUCUUCGGAUCGUAAAACUCUGUUAUUAGGGAAAAGCAAAUGUGUAAGUAACUAUGCACGUCUUGAAGGUACCUAACCAGAAAGCCACGGCUAACUACGUG
rnacentral:rRNA from 1 species